CAAACCCAAAUCAUUGGCCCGAUCAAAUUAAAUUGGUAUAACCCAAAAAGCCAGGUGAAAAUUAGAAUUUGGGAAAUAACAGAAAAUCUCUGACUCUGAUAACUAAUCCAGUGAGAUCUCCGUCUAGGUUUAAACUUCUUAGCCCGUUACACAAAGACAUGGAUCGUAGUUUUAAGAGCAGAGCAGUGCAUGAAGCUUACCGACCUUGAACGUUAAGAUGUUGGCUAGGAAGAGGAUGGAGAUGGCGCUGUCAACCAAUGAGAGGCAAUGCACACCAAGUGUUUGAAGAAAUUGCUAGAAGAAAGCGUUCACUGAUUUGUAUUGCUACGGGAGUACUUCGAGGGCUCUCAAACCUCUAAAUGCAAAUACACGUUCAGAAUAUUUUUCUAGAUCCCCUCUCUUCCUUUCUUCUCUCCUCUUAUUCUCUCAUUUCUAACAUGUAACUAACUCUCUAAGAAAGACUAAUAUGACUAGCCAAAACUUCUAAUGAAA